UAUGUGAUCGUCUCUCGCAUAUCAAUAAGCGGAGGAAAAGAAACUAACAAGGAUUCCCCUAGUAACGGCGAGUGAAGCGGGAAGAGCUCAAAUUUGAAAUCUUAAAGGGUUUCCCUUUACGAAUUGUAGUUUAAAGAAGUGUUUUUCUGUUGAGGUUUUGGUAAAAGUUCUUUGGAAUAGGACAUCAUAGAGGGUGAGAAUCCCGUAUUUGACCUUUACUUUCAACCUUGUGAUACACUUUCAAAGAGUCGGAUUGUUUGGGAAUGCAGUCCAAAAUGGGUGGUAAAUUUCAUCUAAAGCUAAAUAUUGGUGAGAGACCGAUAGCGAACAAGUACCGUGAGGGAAAGAUGAAAAGAACUUUGAAAAGAGAGUUUAAACAGUACGUGAAAUUGUCAAAAGGGAAGCGUUUGACACCAGUGUUGUUUUUUCUGAAAAUCAAUUAAAGAACUGUUUAUGCUAAGCUUGUUUAGACUUUAUCAGCUAAUCUGUUUAGUUUUUGAGCUUUUCUUUAAUGCACUUUUCAGUUAACAAGUCAACAUCAAUUUCUUUUGCUGUAAAAAAGCUUGAGGAAGGUGGCUUGAGAUUCGUCUUAAGUGUUUAUAGCCUCUUGCCUAUGCAGUCGGAGAGAUUGAGGUCUGCAGCGUAGAUCCUUCGGGGCUAAAUGCAUUUGUGCUAAGUUAUAGCAUUUUAUAGACAACUUGUUGACUAUGAUUUGUCUUGUAGCUUACUCGCUUAUGUUAUUUUACCUACGCUUAGGAUGUUGAUCUGUAGUGCGUGCGC
rnacentral:rRNA from 1 species